rfam:Chrysochromulina sp. CCMP291 CAF.Contig8884, whole genome shotgun sequence.
GCAACCGUGGUCUAGUGGCAGAAUUCUCGCCCGCCACGCGGGAGACCCGGGUUCGAUUCCCGGCGGUUGCA